GUAGGCGGCAAGCGUUGUCCGGAAUUAUUGGGCGUAAAGGGAGCGCAGGCGGGAAACUAAGCGGAUCUUAAAAGUGCGGGGCUCAACCCCGUGAUGGGGUCCGAACUGGUUUUCUUGAGUGCAGGAGAGGAAAGCGGAAUUCCCAGUGUAGCGGUGAAAUGCGUAGAUAUUGGGAAGAACACCAGUGGCGAAGGCGGCUUUCUGGACUGUAACUGACGCUGAGGCUCGAAAGCUAGGGUAGCGAACGGGAUUAGAUACCCCGGUAGUCCUAGCCGUAAACGAUGGAUACUAGGUGUGGGAGGUAUCGACCCCUUCCGUGCCGGAGUUAACGCAAUAAGUAUCCCGCCUGGGGAGUACGGCCGCAAGGUUG
rnacentral:rRNA from 1 species